AGGGCGCAAGGGGGAUGCCUUGGCAUUGGAAGCCGAUGAAGGACGUAGCGAUCUACGAUAAGCCUCGGGGAGACGAAAGCAGUCAUCGAUCCGGGGAUUUCCGAAUGGGGAAACCCGCUGGAGCAAUACUCCAGCAACUCUUUGUGAAUCAAAUAGCAAAUUGUGGGGAACCGCCUGAACUGAAACAUCUAAGUAGGGCGAGGAAAAGAAAUCAACCGAGAUUCCGCUAGUAGUGGCGAGCGAACGCGGAAGAGGCCAAACCAAGGGUAGUAAUACCUUUGGGGUAUGGACAGCGCACGGUAUUGAGGAUCGAUAGUGGAAUGAAAUGGGAAGUUCAACCAUAGAGUGUGAGAGUCACGUACACGAAAUUGAGAAUCAGCCAGCUGUAUCCGGAGUACCGCCGGACACGUGAAACCCGGUGGGAAUACGGGGGGACCACCCUCCAAGCCUAAAUACUCUCCAAUGACCGAUAGUGUAUAGUACUGUGAAGGAAAGGUGAAAAGAACCCCUGGCGGGGAGUGAAAAAGAACCUGAAACCUUGUGCCUACAAGCACAUAGAGCACAUCAACGUGUGAUAUGGUACCUUUUGUAGAAUGGUCCGGCGAGUAAAUGUCACUAGCGAGGUUAAGGACUUAAGGUCUGCAGCCGAAGCGAAAGCGAGUCUUAACUGGGCGCUUUAGUUAGUGGUAUUUGACCCGAAACCGAGUGACCUAGCCAUGAGCAGGCUGAAGUGGAGGUAAAACUCCAUGGAGGGCCGAACCCACUCCCGUUGAAAUGGUAGGGGAUGACUUGUGGCUAGCGGAGAAAUUCCAAUCGAACUCGGAUAUAGCUGGUUCUCUCCGAAAUAGCUUUAGGGCUAGCCUCAAUUAACAUUACCGAAGGUAAAGCACUGACUGAGCUAGGGGGCGAAAGCUUACUGAACUCUAUCAAACUAAGAAUGUCGGAUAAUGAAUGAUUGGGAGUCACACUGCGUGAGAUAAGUUUCGCGGUGGAAAGGGAAACAGCCCAGACCUACAGCUAAGGUCCCAAAGUAUGGUUAAGUGGAAAAGGAUGUGGAAUUGCGUAGACAACCAGGAUGUUGGCUCAGAAGCAGCCACUCAUUUAAAGAGUGCGUAAUAGCUCACUGGUCGAGUGACUCUGCGCCGAAAAUUUAACGGGGCUAAACCAUACACCGAAGCUUAGGAAUAUACUUUUAGUAUGUUGGUAGGAGAGCGUCUUAUACGGGGUGAAGUUACAGCGGAAGCGGUAGUGGACUGUAUACGAGUGAGAAUGCCGGAAUGAGUAGCGAGAAUUAUGUGAGAAUCAUAAUGGCCGAAAGACUGAGGUUUUAGAAGGAAGGUUCGUCCGCUUCUAGUUAGCCGGGGGCUAAGGCGAGGCCGAGAGGCGUAGUCGAUGCACAUACGGUAGAGAUUCCGUAGCCACCUUGAAUUUAAACUGAGGGACACAUUGAAAGGGUAUAUCCCGGGCGUUGGUUGACCCGGGCGUAAGGGAGCUAACAUAUCAGCGAAGUAUACUUGGACAGUGGCGAGAAAAGCUCAGUGUAUAUAAUCAGGGUGCCCGUACUGCAAACCGACACAGGUAGUCAGGAAGAGAAUUCUAAGGCCAACGGGAGAAGGAUUGUUAAGGAACUCGGCAAAUUGACCCCGUAACUUCGGAAUAAGGGGUGCUCACGAGAGUGAGCCGCAGUGAAUAGGUCCAGGCAACUGUUUAUCAAAAACACAGCUCUCUGCUAAAUCGUAAGAUGAUGUAUAGGGGGUGACACCUGCCCGGUGCUGGAAGGUUAAGAGGAGGAGUGCAAGCUCCGAAUUGAAGCCCCAGUAAACGGCGGCCGUAACUAUAACGGUCCUAAGGUAGCGAAAUUCCUUGUCGGGUAAGUUCCGACCCGCACGAAUGGUGUAAUGAUCUGGACACUGUCUCAACAAUCCACCCGGCGAAAUUGUAGUACCGGUGAAGAUGCCGGUUACCCGCGGCAAGACGGAAAGACCCCAUGGAGCUUCACUGCAACUUGAUAUUGGGUUUCGGUAUUCUAUUUACAGGAUAGGCGGGAGACAUGGAAGCAAGCACGCCAGUGUUUGUGGAGUCAACCUUGGGAUACCGCUACUAGAGUAUUGGAAUUCUAACCUGCGGCCUUGAAUCAGGUCGGGGGACAUUGUCAGGUGGGCAGUUUGACUGGGGCGGU
rnacentral:rRNA from 1 species